rnacentral:tmRNA from 1 species
GGGGCUGACUGGUUUUGACAGCGGGUAGAAGAGGCAGGUAAGCAUGCAGGGUUUUGAUUGUUGACCCUCCAAAAUAAUGAUCGAAAUCAUAAUUGGCGAAUAUAACUACGCUCUUGCUGCGUAACCGAAUAACAGUAAGUUAACGCACCCGGAAUUUACUUCCGGGAUUCCCGGUGCAAGGCGCCGGGACGAGACAUCGCCCGGGUGCUGUUGCCACGAAGCGGCCCGAUCAGGCGGUGCAGGAAUAUCGGGGCUAACUGAAACUUUGCUCCGCAGUUUCAGUGAAAAUUAAGGAGCUAAGGUGCCGGUCGGGCAGCCCUGAGCCAGCCGGUGCACGAAAAUUAAGCCGGGGAUAAGCAUGUAGAAAGCUUGUGGCUUCCUCGUUUGGACGCGGGUUCGACUCCCGCCAGCUCCACUC